UUGCCUACGGGAGGCAGCAGUGGGGAAUAUUGCACAAUGGGGGAAACCCUGAUGCAGCAACGCCGCGUGAGUGAAGAAGUCAUUCGUGAUGUAAAGCUCUAUCAGCAGGGAAGAAAAUGACGGUACCUGAGUAAGAAGCCCCGGCUAACUACGUGCCAGCAGCCGCGGUAAUACGUAGGUGGCAAGCGUUAUCCGGAUUUAUUGGGUGUAAAGGGCGUGUAGGCGGGAAUGCAAGUCAGAUGUGAAAACUAUGGGCUCAACCCAUAGCCUGCAUUUGAAACUGUAUUUCUUGAGUGCUGGAGAGG
rnacentral:rRNA from 1 species